GAAGGCUUUGGGUCCAGCGCCAUUGGGUGGGCAUGAAGUCGAUCAUGUACACGGGAUUUCCUGUUCCUCAAUUGGCGCCUGCUACAGCUGCAUGACAUCAAAAAAUCAGUGCUAAGCUUGUUCACCGCAUCAAGAUACAGAGCCUCAUCCAGAGAAGUUUUCUGGAUAGACAUCUAACAGAGCAGAUGAUCUUCUCAUUCUGUACCUUUUCCCCACCAAUGUUGAUAUUUUG
rnacentral:lncRNA from 1 species